ensembl:lncRNA
CCAAAAUGCUGAACUUCUUGACCAACUUUCAAACUGGUGAUGUAAGACCAAAUUCAAAUUGAGCAAUAUAUGUGAACAUGUGAGACUUAAAAGAAUGAUUUGCCAACUCAUGACCAUUGAAUCUCUGUUUUAGAGACUUAUACUUGAAAUUUUGCCAAGGAAAACAACUUUAUGAGCUUCUAUUACUCUCCAUUCCUAAAGAAGGAAUGACAGCUCCACUGAUAGCACCUCUAAAGUGAACAGCAGGUGUAUGGUCACAGUGCCCAGCAGGAAUGGCUUAGAAUUGGGCUGACUUCAAUUUGGGAGCUGUUUUGCUGAACACUGACCCCAAGCAAGUUUCAUCCCUCCUCCCCUCCUGCCUGAUUUUACAAGAUAGAUGAACACAGUCCAUUCUGCUGGAACUGGCUGCUCUUUGCAAGUAGAUGAAGUGAAGAUUUAUUAUCAUUAGAACACAUGGAAAUUGGAAAAUGGACUAAUGGAAACCAUUAAUGUCCUCCUCUCAACAAUCAGAUGAAUGGUGGAUCAAUGCAGUAUAUUAAUGGAUUGGAAAUGAUUUAAGACAAUAUAAACAUUAAGUCCCAGAUAUUAGAUGGGAAGAAAGCAAGCAAGACUAAGAUAUUACUCUAUUAUAUAUAUACGAAAAAAAUAAAAUACCAUCCUCUAAGAUGUAUUUCCUGUCCAGCAUUUUGAUUUCUUUGCAGAGGUAAUAUUGAAAAACUGUACUGUAUCUUUCCAUAUUACCACCUAACAUUGAAAUGAAUGUCUUUCCACUUACAAAAGCAAAUAAUAUUGUAAGCCUGUAACAACAAAUAAAUUCUGUGUCACGUAUUCUGCAGGUAAAAUAAUAACAGUAGUCAGUUUGCAGAAAAUAAUUGCGUUGCUUUUUGGUUUGCUCUUUUUUUUUUUUUUUUUUUUUAAUAUCAGUGGCUCUUUUGUUUGCAGUUUAUGCACAACACUGUAAAAAGAAAUGAUUAAAUAUGAUUGAUGUAACAGUUGCAGUC